AACGUAGGACACAAGCGUUAUCCGGAGUUACUGGGCGUAAAGGGCGUGCAGGCGGUCUGUUAAGUGCAGGGUGAAAGCUCCCGGCUCAACUGGGAGAGGUCCUUGCAUACUGGCGGACUUGAGGGGGGUAGAGGAAAGUGGAAUUCCCGGUGUAGUGGUGAUAUGCGUAGAUAUCGGGAGGAACACCUGUGGCGAAGGCGGCUUUCUGGGCCCUACCUGACGCUGAGACGCGAAAGCGUGGGGAGCGAACCGG
rnacentral:rRNA from 1 species